CCACGAUACUCGAAAGUAAACCUCAAAUACUUAUCAAUGUUGUUGUAGAAAAGGCCACUGUGAAAGAAUGCGACCACCACCUCCAGGGCCAGGCUUUCUUGGUGGUUUGUGCAAUUGCAUAGCAUCUUGGUUAGUGGUGACUACACUGCAUUCAGGCGUGGGAAAUGAGAAUAUUUGUUACAACACUUCUUGGUGAUGUCAAAGUUAAUGCAUUACAUUCAUUCUUGUAUGGCUGAACAUUGACAUUUACUCUUAAAUCUCAAUGGUCUUGAUUCUUGAAUGUGCUUCUAAUCUCGUUGGAGUAAAGGAUUCAUUGUUUAAGUAUCUUGUGCUGCUGCUGGUAGCUACAAGACUGCUUUGGUGGUCCAAUGCGGCCGCCUGGACCAAUCGGACCGCCUCGGCCUUGAUUAUAAGCUGCUUCUUCAACCUUGCUGAUGCCUCCUGCGUUUACAUGAUUUAUGAUCUACCAGGAAUACCUAAUCAUGUUGUUCUACUGUUUUGAGUGAUAAUGGGGCAACAAUCUUACUUU